CACCGGCGGCCCGAGUGGUAAUCACUUUUAUUGGGUCUAAAGGGUCCGUAGCCGGUUUGAUCAGUUCCUCGGGAAAUCUGACAGCUUAACUGUUAGGCUUCCGGGGGAUACUGUCAGACUCGGGACCGGGAGAGGUAAGAGGUACUACAGGGGUAGGAGUGAAAUCUUGUAAUCCUUGUGGGACCACCAGUGGCGAAGGCGUCUUACCAGAACGGGUCCGACGGUGAGGGACGAAAGCUGGGGGCACGAACCGGAUUAGAUACCCGGGUAGUCCCAGCCGUAAACGAUGCUCGCUAGGUGUCUGGGAUGGUGCGACCGUUUCAGGUGCCGCAGGGAAGCCGUGAAGCGAGCCACCUGGGAAGUACGGCCGCAAGGCUGAAACUUAAAGGAAUUGGCGGGGGAGCACUACAACGGGUGGAGCCUGCGGUUU
rnacentral:rRNA from 1 species